UACGUAGGGUGCAAGCGUUGUCCGGAAUUAUUGGGCGUAAAGAGCGUGUAGGCGGCCAGGUAGGUCUGCUGUGAAAACUCGAGGCUCAACCUCGAGACGUCGGCGGAAACCAUCUGGCUAGAGUCCGGAAGAGGAGAGUGGAAUUCCUGGUGUAGCGGUGAAAUGCGCAGAUAUCAGGAAGAACACCCGUGGCGAAGGCGGCUCUCUGGGACGGUACUGACGCUGAAGACGCGGAAAGCGUGGGGAGCGAACAGG
rnacentral:rRNA from 1 species